GUUGAUCUCUAUCAACAGUUCAGAUGGUGAGAGCACUCCCCGAUGAUGUUUUGUGCUUGUUUGAGUAUCCGCCAGGCAUGGCCAUUUAUAUUUUUUGUUUUCUGUUGUUCUCACCACUCCUCACAGUGCCUGUUUGUCUGCUACAGAACAGCCUGCAUACCACACUGGUUCUCUGGAAGGACUUUACUCUCCAUCAGUGGGUCUGAGUCUGUUUUGCUUUUCCCCAUAGUCUUAGUGGUGCAAACUGAACACUGUGCUGAUUGUUGCUCUGCCUGUCUCCGUAUGCUGACUCCUCUUCGCUUGAGAUUAGCCCAGAAACAUCUGUGUCAUCAACAUAAUGAUGUUGGAUAAAUGAACAGGUCUGCAAUCAGAGGUGUACAGUAGCGAGUGAUUCCGAACAGAAGAAGCUGGAUGACAUGAAGAUCUGCACGCUGGAGAAAAGGAG